GAUCCUGGCUCAGGAUGAACGCUAGCUACAGGCUUAACACAUGCAAGUCGAGGGGCAGCAUGGUCUUAGCUUGCUAAGGCCGAUGACGACCGGCGCACGGGUGAGUAACACGUAUCCAACCUGCCAUCUACUCUUGGACAGCCUUCUGAAAGGAAGAUUAAUACAAGAUGGCAUCAUGAGUUCACAUGUUCACAUGAUUAAAGGUAUUCCGGUAGACGAUGGGGA
rnacentral:rRNA from 1 species